rnacentral:rRNA from 1 species
GACGAACGCUGGCGGCGUGCGUAACACAUGCAAGUCGAACGGAAAGGCCCUGCUUUUGUGGGGUGCUCGAGUGGCGAACGGGUGAGUAACACGUGAGUAACCUGCCCUUGACUUUGGGAUAACUUCAGGAAACUGGGGCUAAUACCGGAUAGGAGCUCCUGCUGCAUGGUGGGGGUUGGAAAGUUUCGGCGGUUGGGGAUGGACUCGCGGCUUAUCAGCUUGUUGGUGGGGUAGUGGCUUACCAAGGCUUUGACGGGUAGCCGGCCUGAGAGGGUGACCGGCCACAUUGGGACUGAGAUACGGCCCAGACUCCUACGGGAGGCAGCAGUGGGGAAUAUUGCACAAUGGGCGGAAGCCUGAUGCAGCAACGCCGCGUGCGGGAUGACGGCCUUCGGGUUGUAAACCGCUUUCGCCUGUGACGAAGCGUGAGUGACGGUAAUGGGGAAAGAAGCACCGGCUAACUACGU